AACCUUAUGGACCUGCGGGCGUAUACCUGCGGAAGGAUCAUUACCGAGUUUACAACUCCCAAACCCCUGUGAACAUACCUAUACGUUGCCUCGGCGGAUCAGCCCGCGCCCCGUAAAAAGGGACGGCCCGCCCGAGGACCCCUAAACUCUGUUUUUAGUGGAACUUCUGAGUAAAACAAACAAAUAAAUCAAAACUUUUAACAAUGGAUCU
rnacentral:misc_RNA from 1 species